rnacentral:rRNA from 1 species
CUACGGGGGGCUCCAGUGGGGAAUAUUGCACAAUGGGCGCAAGCCUGAUGCAGCCAUGCCGCGUGUAUGAAGAAGGCCUUCGGGUUGUAAAGUACUUUCAGCGGGGAGGAAGGGAGUAAAGUUAAUACCUUUGCUCAUUGACGUUACCCGCAGAAGAAGCACCGGCUAACUCCGUGCCAGCAGCCGCGGUAAUACGGAGGGUGCAAGCGUUAAUCGGAAUUACUGGGCGUAAAGCGCACGCAGGCGGGUUGUUAAGUCGGAUGUGAAAUCCCCGGGCUCAACCUGGGAACUGCAUCUGAUACUGGCAAGCUUGGGUCUCGUAGAGGGGGGUAGAAUUCCAGGUGUAGCGGUGAAAUGCGUAGAGAUCUGGAGGAAUACCGGUGGCGAAGGCGGCCCCCUGGACGAAGACUGACGCUCAGGUGCGAAAGCGUGGGGAGCAAACAGGAUUAGAUACCCUCGUAGUC